rnacentral:rRNA from 1 species
GACGAACGCUGGCGGCGUGCUUAACACAUGCAAGUCGAACGGAAAGGCCCUGCUUUUGUGGGGUGCUCGAGUGGCGAACGGGUGAGUAACACGUGAGUAACCUGCCCUUGACUUUGGGAUAACUUCAGGAAACUGGGGCUAAUAACGGAUAGGAGCUCCUGCUGCAUGGUGGGGGUUGGAAAGUUUCGGCGGUUGGGGAUGGACUCGCGGCUUAUCAGCUUGUUGGUGGGGUAGUGGCUUACCAAGGCUUUGACGGGUAGCCGGCCUGAGAUGGUGACCGGCCACAUUGGGACUGAGGUACGGCCCAGACUCCUACGGAAGGCAGCAGUGGGGAAUAUUGCACAAUGGGCAGAAGCCUGAUGCAGCAACGCCGCGUGCGGGAUGACGGCCUUCGGGUUGUAAACCGCUUUCGCCUGUGACGAAGCGUGAGUGACGGUAAUAGGUAAAGAAACACCGGCUAACUACGU